AACGCGAAGAACCUUACCUGGGCUUGAACCGCUACUGACCAAGGGUAGAAAUAUCCUCUUCCCGCAAGGGACAGUAGUAGAGGUGCUGCAUGGCUGUCGUCAGCUCGUGCCGUGAGGUGUUGGGUUAAGUCCCGCAACGAGCGCAACCCUUACUCGUAGUUGCCACCCGCAAGGGGGAACUCUACGAGGACUGCUCCGGAUAACGGAGAGGAAGGUGGGGAUGACGUCAAGUCAGCACGGCCUUUAUGUCCAGGGCUACACACGUGUUACAAUGCAUGGUACAGACUGUUGCGAACCCGCGAGGGGGAGCUAAUCGGACAAAACCAUGCUCAGUUCGGAUUGCAGUCUGCAACUCGGCUGCAUGAAGCUGGAAUCGCUAGUAAUGGCGUAUCAGAUCGACGCCGUGAAUACGUUCCCGGGCCUUGUA
rnacentral:rRNA from 1 species